rnacentral:lncRNA from 1 species
AUUUUUUUAAAGUCGUCUGUCAUUAAGGUGAAGAGCAAGUCCGGGUCUGAGCUAAUGAUACAACUCUGCUGUUAUUUAUAAGAGCAUAUCCUAGAGUCGGCUUGGAGAUCUUAGUCAAUCCUUCAGUUAUGUGACUUUUUCCUGAAGUGCUGUUUUCAAAGCUCUGUUGACAACAUGACAUAAAUAAAGGUUUGUGGAAAAAUGGCUAAAGCUUUUCUGAAAAAAAUAAAGCUUUUGGCAACAAGACUAGGAAAUAAUAGCAAAACAAUUAAGAGUAAGGUGGUAUUAUGGACUGAAAAAAUUAAUUUUUUUCCCAUCUUCAUUUUCAGCCUUCCCCGUCUGCUGCCCCAGAACCUGUUUUAGUAUACCAGCCUUGAUUAUUUAAGAGUAACGUUAAAUUAGAUGAUGAAAUUCCUUUGAAAAGUAAAGGACAAGUAGCCUGCGGGGAAAUGCCAUAUGCUUUUAGCUGUAGCAAUUGACUGGAUGUUGACAGCCUGUGGAACUUUAGUCCAGGGAUGCCUAGGUGGAUCAGCGGUUGAGUGUCUGCCUUCGGCCCAGGGCAUGAUCCCGGGAUCCAGGAUCAGUCCCACAUCAGGCUCCUUGCAGGGAGCCUGCUUCUCCCUCAGCUUGUGUCUCUGCCUCUCUCUCUCUCAAUAUCUCUCUGUCUCUCUGUCUCUCUCUCUCUGUCACUAAUA